AGAACCCUGGCUACUUCGACAUCCAGGCUGAGAACCUGGGCAUCUGGCAUGUGCCCAACAAAAGCCCCCUGAAAAACUGGAGGAAGAGCUCCCUGCUGAGGUACCGCACCUUCACUGGCUUCCUGCAGCACUUGAGCCAUAACCUGUUUGGCCUCUACCAGGAAGUACCCGGUGAAAUACGAAGGAGGGCAGUGUUGGACUUACCGUGGCCCAGCAUUACCUGUGGUCUAUGACUUUGGUGAUGCUCAGAAGACAGCCUCUUAUUACUCCCCCUAUGGCCAGA
rnacentral:lncRNA from 1 species